rnacentral:rRNA from 1 species
UACGUAGGGCCCAAGCGUUGUUCGGAUUUACUGGGCGUAAAGGGCGCGUAGGCGGCGUGUUAAGUCAGCUGUGAAAUCUCCAAGCUUAACUUGGAACGGUCAGCUGAUACUGAUGUGCUAGAGUGCAGAAGGGGCAAUCGGAAUUCUUGGUGUAGCGGUGAAAUGCGUAGAUAUCAAGAGGAACACCGGAGGUGAAGACGGGUUGCUGGGCUGACACUGACGCUGAGGCGCGAAAGCUAGGGUAGCAAACGGG